rnacentral:rRNA from 1 species
GGAGUUUGGACCGUGUCUCAGUUCCAAUGUGGCCGAUUACCCUCUCAGGUCGGCUACUGAUCGUUGACUUGGUGGGCCGUUACCUCACCAACUAUCUAAUCAGACGCAGGUGCAUCCCAUGCCGAUAAAUCUUUGGCAGCUAGAUCAUGCGAUCCUACCGCUUUAUGCAGUAUUAAUCCCAGUUUCCCGAGGCUAUCCUGCUGCAUGGGGCAGCUUACCUACGCGUUACUCACCCGUCCGCCGCUGUCCUUCCCUUCAAUCGUCCGAAGACUCGAUCCGGGAAUUCUCGCUCGACUUGCAUGUGUUAGGCACGCCGCCAGCGUUCAUC